rnacentral:rRNA from 1 species
AUUGAACGCUGGCGGCAGGCCUAACACAUGCAAGUCGAACGAGUGGCGGACGGGUGAGUAAUGUCUGGGAAACUGCCUGAUGGCGGGGGUUAACUACUGGAAACGGUAGCUAAUCCCCAAUACCAUCAGAUUUUCCCAGAUGUGCUUAGCUUGUUGGUGGGGUAACGGCUCACAAAGGCCACGAUCCCUAGCUGGUCUGAGAGGAUGACCAGCAACACGGGAACUGAGCAACGGUCCAGAUUCCUACGGGAGCCAGCAGUGGGGAAUAUUGCAAAAUGGGCGAAAUCCUGAUCCAGCAAUGCCGCGUGUGUGAAGAAGGUCUUGGGAUUGUAAAGCACUUUAAGUUGGGAGGCGUUAACAACAGAAUAAGCACCGGCUAACUACGUGCCAGCAGCCGCGGUAAUUC